rnacentral:rRNA from 1 species
UGUAAGCGUAUACCAAAGUUGUUGCAGUUAAAACGCUCGUAGUCGGAAUUUGGCAGUUCCGGAUGUGUGCACGUCGUGUGCGCACUUCGCGGGGAUUGCUUUUGUGGUCUUGCGUAGGAUGAGGCACUUUUAUUAGUGAACGUCCUCACGCAACCACUUUUUACUGUGAGAAAAUCAGAGUGCUCAAAGCAGGCAUUUGCCGUGAAUGUAUUAGCAUGGAAUAAUAGAAUAGGACUUGGUUCUAUUUUGUUGGUUUGUUGGGACUGAGUAAUGAUUAAGAGGGACAGUGGGGGGCAUUUGUAUUUCGGUGCUAGAGGUGAAAUUCUUAGAUUACCGAAAGACAAACUGCUGCGAAAGCGUCUGCCAAGGAUGUUUUCAUUGA